rnacentral:rRNA from 1 species
GCUUAGUGUGGGCACACGGCCGUGUGGGGACGGAGGGGGGUAGCGUGGUGCGGAGUCACUGGGGGUAAAGCGUACGUAGGCGGAUGGGUCAGUCAGGGGUGAAAGCGCGGGGCUCAACCUGGGAACUGCCGUUGAUACAGCACGGCUUGAGUGCGGAAGAGGUGGGUGGAAUUCCGAGUGUAGAGGUGAAAUUCGUAGAGAUUAGGAAGAACACCGGUGGCGAAGGCGGCCCACUGGUCCGGUACUGACGCUGAGGUGCGAAAGCGUGGGGAGCAAACAGGAUUAGAUACCCUAGUAGUC